rnacentral:rRNA from 1 species
CUAGGUCGUAAACCACUGUCAUGUGAGAGUAAGGCAUAUAGUAUACCUAGUAUGCUGAUAGUAUCACAGAGAAGGGACGGCUACUUCGUGCCAGCAGCGCGGUAAUACGAAGGUCCCGAGCGUAUCGGAAUCACUGGGCGUAAAGGGAGCGUAGGCUGUACGGUAAGUCAGAUGUGAAAUCUCAGAGCUCAACUCUGAAACUGCAUCCGAUACUGCCGUACUAGAGUAAUGGAGGGGUAACUGGAAUUCUCGGUGUAGCAGUGAAAUGCGUAGAUAUCGAGAGGAAGACCAACGGCGAAGGCAGGUUACUGGACAUUUACUGACGCUGAGGCUCGAAGGCUAGGGUAGCGAAAGGGAUUAGAUACCCCUGUAGUCCUAGCAGUAAACGAUGUGCGCUUGGUGUGGGGAGGUUCGACCCUUUCCGUGCCGGAGCUAACGCGUUAAGCGCACCGCCUGGGGAGUACGGUCGCAAGACUAAAACUCAAAGAAAUUGACGGGGACCCGCACAAGCGGUGGAGUAUGUGGCUUAAUUCGAUGCAACGCGAAGAACCUUACCUAGGCUUGACAUGUAUCGCUAAGCAGUUGAAAGGCUGUGACUCUUCGGAGACUUUACACAGGUGCUGCAUGGCCGUCGUCAGCCCGUGUCGUGAGAUGUUCGGUUAAGUCCGGCAACGAGCGCAACCCCUGUGACUAGUUACUAACAUUAAGUUGAGGACUCUAGUCAGACUGCCCAGAUCAACUGGGAGGAAGGUGGGGAUGACGUCAGGUCAGUAUGGCCCUUACGCCUAGGGCUGCACACGUACUACAAUGUCCAGUACAAUGAGAACCGAUACCGCGAGGUGGAGGAAAUCUACAAAACUGGGCUCAGUUCGGAUUGGAGGCUGCAACUCGCCUCCAUGAAGUUGGAAUCGCUAGUAAUGGCACAUCAGCUACGGUGCCGUGAAUACGUUCCCGGGUCUUGUACACACCGCCCGUCACAUCAUGGAAGCCGACAGCACCCGAAGUAUCUGCGCCAACAUUGGCAAGGUCCUAAGGUGUAGUUGGUAACUGGGAUGAAGUCGUAACAAGGUAACC